UAAGACAUUUUGCAGAGAACUGCUGAAUUCUGAUGCAAUGCCCAAUGAAGUUCUAGACUGUUUAAUAGAACACAAGAACAAUCUUGAGAUGGAUGACAAAUGUGCUGCUGGGAUUGAACAUCAUCAGAUUGUAAGUUCUGGAAGAUUAAAAGAUUUUUUUCAUAAAAGGGCAUCUAGUGUAAAUGUGUAUCUUAUAAUUAGCAAGAAUGUAUGUUAGCAUAGUCAGAUGUGUAAAAAAAAAUAAUAUUGUAUUUAACUCUUUGUGACAUUUUACAAUAUUAAACUUCUAACACAU
rnacentral:sRNA from 1 species